rnacentral:rRNA from 1 species
AUUGAACGCUGGCGGCAGGCCUAACACAUGCAAGUCGAACGAGUGGCGGACGGGUGAGUAAUGUCUGGGAAACUGCCCGAUGGAGGGGGAUAACUACUGGAAACGGUAGCUAAUACCGCAUACCAUCGGAUGUGCCCAUAUGGGAUUAGCUAGUGGGGGGGGUAAUGGCUCACCUAGGCGACGCUCCCUAGCUGGUCUGAGAGGAUGAACAGCCACACUGGAACUGAGACACGGUCCAGACUCCUACGGGAGGCAGCAGUGGGGAAUAUUGCACAAUGGGCGCAAGCCUGAUGCAGCCAUGCCGCGUGUAUGAAGAAGGCCGUCGGGUUGUAAAGUACUUUCAGCGAGGAGGCGUUACUCGCAGAAGAAGCACCGGCUAACUCCGUGCCAGCAGCCGCGGUAAUAC